UGGUAAUGAACAAAUCAUCUACUUGCAAGGAACUCAUAACUUGGAUCUUCUAUGCAACUCCUAAUGUACCUAAGACAUGUAUAAUGAAAGAAAUGCUAGGUGAGAAUGCUCAUAAAGUAUAAUGCAUAGAAUAAGGAUAGAUAAAAGUAAACCUAGAAUAUCAUUCAAUGAAUAAUGAAAUCCAAAUUUGUUACAUCAUUUCAUGCUUUUAAGGGCUCUAUCCUAACACAAAUGACAUGUCAUCGAGGGAUAUGAAAUUAAACAAGGACCACUGGGAUCCAUAGGAAAAUACUAGCUCCCUCAUAAUCUAAUUUUAAAGUUAACUUGAUAUUCAAUUAAAUCAAUUGCAUUCCAAUAUUCUAUUUUAUUACAUCAAGAUAAGAAUUGAUUAAACCCAAUUUAAUCAAUUCCUCUGAUCUAUGACCUACUAUCCAUUGCAUGCAAACUCCCCAUGAAUUGGUAUUUAUUAUCUAACAAGGUAGAUGUCAUCAACCUUUCAAGAUUACCUCUACAAUCUUUAAGUCUCAUAUCCUCUUAUUAUAUGAUCAACUAACAUACUCUAACUCAUCAAAAGUAUAUGUCAAAUUUCACUAAAGGAAUCACUAUGAUGUCAUAGAUUUUAUGAUCACAAGUCUUUAAGACCAUCCAACGGAACACACUGUGGAUACCAUGAUACCUAUCUUGAGAAUACCUAUUACUACCUGCCUUAAUCAAUAGUGACCCCAAUCCGUAACGAAUAUAUGACCACUUUAGGGUCUCACUCAAAGUCAAAGUCAUUGAAGACCUCAAUACUAACUCAAUAUUCUCUCAAGGUUAAGAAUCCAUGCAGCAUAGUAGCUUAGUAAAAUAAUGACUACCUAAUUGUCAAUGUCAUAAUUCACUAUAAGUCCUAUACAAUGUGUAACCAUACACAUUAAUCCACUCACCAUAGGAAAAUGCAUCUCAAUGAUUAAGACAAGUCAUUCCUCCAAUUAGAAGAUAAUGUACUACAACCUUAGAUGGAUUUUCUAAGUCUAUGAACCAAUUGUAAACAAGUCGUCAACUUAGAAGGAACCAUACCCAAACAAUAACUAUUUCAAAAGUUAUAAUUCCUUAGACAAGAAAAAUCUUUGGAGAAUGUGAAUCCUAUAAUGGAUUUUUUUUUCUCAACAAAAGUGUAAGAAAUCACCUUCUACAUGGCUUAAAAUGCAUCAGUAACUCCCAAGUAUUCUCUCAAUGUACCAAGUUUUAAGAACCUCAAAAGCCACGAAACGUUUGAUCAAGUUCACCUCAAGCUUUUUAGAACAGGGACCGAUUUCCCAACCUUUUUUAUUGCAUAAAAUGGCAUCUAAGUUUUUAGAACAAUAUCAUUGACAUGUGACUAGUUGGUUAUGGGCACUAAGGCUUAAAGAUGAACUGACUAUUACCCCCUCAAGACAAGUGUUCUAGCUUUAAACAAAGACAUUGCAUUUUCUACUUUUUUUUAUUAUUAUUAUUCGUCUUCUUUUAUAGCAAUUUUUUUUUAGUGACGAUUUUUUAUCCAAAAGGAUGUUUUAACCCUUCCUAAUUAAGGAACUUCGUUAUUGAGUAAGAUAAUCUAAGAGUAUGCUUGUGCAUAGUGUUUAAUAUGACUUCGAUUUAGAAAUUGAUAACAAAUCAAGUUUCAAGGUUAAUAGGAUGUCAACCUAACUUUAUCAACUUCCAAGUAUAUAAAUCAAUAAAUAAACUAAUUAUUUUGCUAAAUACCCCAAUUGAUCCAUAUACAAUUGAAAAGAAAGCAUAAUUCUUCUUUUUGAGCUGAAAUGGAAUAAUCUAAAAUUGUGAAUUCAAGUAUUUCAUCAACAAAAAUUUAAAAAGAAAAAAAAAUCUUUUAAUUUGAUGUUUUUUAUUAAACUCAAAUUUGCUACCUAUGAUCCUCUCCCCCAAACCUAUUCAGUACAUUUUUCUCAAGGUAAAAUAAAAUAGAACAGAAGAAAUAGAGGUACCUCAAGCAACAUCAACAAUACAACCCUUUCAAACAAUCAAAGCAAAGAACAACAAAUAACCAUAUUAGAAACUCAAAGAAUAUGGAGAAAAUGCCAAAAUAGAAUAUAAGAUGAAAAGUAUCAUAAUAUAUGUCUUAAAGCAAAGAUAAUCUGGAAGAAACCUAGGAACUCAAAAAUCUAAAAUAUAUCCAAAAUGAGUAAAAUGUUAAGAUGAGAAAAGUAAGAAGACCUAAAAUAAGCUAAGUGGAUAAACAAGCAAGUAGCAGAAAUUUAGGUAGUUGCAUUUGAAUGUUUAGAAUCAACAUCAGGCAUAUAGGGAGUUUCUCAUGGCUUUGCUUCACAGCUAUCAACAUUUGCACUCUCACCCUCAAACUCUUCUUUCUUAGUAGCAACCAGUGGAGCUACUUCUUUUGCUAGUGAUGCCUUUUUCUGCAGGAGCCUACUACUAUCGCAAUUGCCACCUAACAGCCACUCUUCUAGGUAAAUCCCUAAUAACAAUCCCCCCCUAUAAAACAAAAUCCUCUUUCUUAGAAAAAUCAAUACCUAGCAACACCAUUUCCAUGUAUCUAAUAAGAUUUUGAUGGUAGAGAUGGCUAUUAGGAUACACAAUUUGAAAAUUUCAAUGACAAUAUUUUAUCAAACAAUAUCGAAAUAUAGUGCUUUAUCAAAAUAUCUAAAUAACACAAUAUUUUAUUUCAACACCAUAGUGCUAUAUUGAUUCUAUAUGGAGGUAUUUAGGAGUUUUUACUUGAAAUUCUCAUAUACGGUUCUCAGAGGGGGAGUCCCUUUGGUUUAUCUAUCUCAAUAAAAUUUAUGAUUGGUUUAGCUUGAAGGUUUUAUUGAAUCAUCGUGGUUCCUAUAAUCAUAUAAUAGUUAAUGAAUUGUCAUAUAUUAUUAAAUUGGGUAUGUUUCCAUCACCACUUAUGAGAAUGCAUGAGAUAAAUUGCUUUUUAUGAGUCCCACUAUGUUGACUCCCAUUUAUAAUAGGCUAAAGAUUUUAUGUUUAUAUCAGACAUUUAAAAUUGCUUUUGAUUCUAAUUUUAUAUUUGAAAAUAAUUAGAUUUUUGAAAACUUGGCAUAGGUAUCCCAAAAAUAUUUUAUCUAUUCAAUUAUAAUUAUAUUUAAAAGAUAUCCUAGAUUGUUUAAAUUAGCAUCAUUAUAUGCCUUUAUUGAAAUCUUGAGUUGGGGAUAAAGAUAAAGAUAAGGAAAAAAAGGGUUUGGUUGCUUAUACUUACACUUGUUCUUUAAUUAGAAGCAGAUUUAAGUAUAUUGUGAUAAUUAUUUCCAUAUCUUCAAAGUAGCCAAUUUUUAAAAUUUUAAAGUAGACAAUUUUUAUAUGUCUCCAUAUUAAAUAUAUUUUUAAAUGACUCACAUUUUUUAAUUAUUAUUUUUAUAUGUUUCCAACUUGUAUAUCUGACACUAAUAUCAAUUUUUUGAUUGAUUGAAAAUUAUUUAUUUUUAAUUUUGAAAGUUCUUGAGAUAAACCCACCAUGAAUGGUUAAAAUCACUUCUAAGUUCUAACUAAAUGACAAGCUAUUUUACAAAAAUAAUAAUAAUUUUAUCCAAAAAGAAUUGCUUGAUAAUAAAAAAAACUUUCCCAAUUCACAAAGGCUAUGUUUGGUUGGAGGAAAAUUUGAAGGAAAAUGAAAAAGAAAAAAAAAUAUAAAGAAAAAGUAAAAAGGAAGAAAAAAAAUGAAGAAAAAUAAAAAAUAGAUUUAAAUUUAAUAAAUAUUUUUAUAUACUUCUUUAAACUCAUUUCACUUAUUUCUCUCUAUUAUAGUAAGAUUAAAUAAUUUAAAAAUAGAUCAAUUCUAAUUAAUUUUAGUUAUAUUAAAUUUUCUUUUUAUUAAAAUUUCUUUUUAUUUUCUACUAUGAAAAAAUCAUUUUUCCUAACAUUUUUUUAUUUCUUUAAUAUUUUUUUGGAACCAAAAAUAGUCUAAGAGUUGCUAAAAGACUAAAAGUAGUUCACUAAAAAAUAUAACUAAUUAAAAUUUAAAUAGUAUAUAUAUAUAUAUAUAACAAUCAAGGAAUCUUGCAUGACCAAACCCUUAGAACUCUCCAUGGGGACCCAAACCGAUUCUCACUUUGAGGUGCCAACCGCUCGCAACAACUAUAUAUAUAUAUAUAAUUCUUUAGGUUUUAUUUCACCAAACAAAUCAGUGAGGCUUAUAAUUUUAUUUCCUCUCUAACAUUUAAUUUUGUCAUCAAACAUUUAUAAUUCUUGAGGUCAUUUUCAAAGUCUUUUUUUAUUAUUAUUUAAAAAAAGGUUUAUUACACUUUACUCUCCUAACUUAUAGCAUGUUUUGCACAUUGCCCCCUCAAAUUCAAAAUAGAGCAUUGUACCCUCCAUGGUUUAUAAUUGCAUGCAAUAUGCAUUUUUUUAGAGACGGCGUCACAGUUUUAGACGAAACGACAUGUGCUCUCCGUGUAACCGAGGGCAAAAGUGUCUUUUUUGUUAUAAAUAAGGGCAACACUUGAAAAUUUGUUGUAGUUCAAGGAAAUAAAUCAAAGAGUUGUAUAUUCAACCUAGAUAUGAGUUGCAUGUUCCAGACAACUGCAUUUGCUCAAAAUGCAUAAUGCAAAGUACCAACAUAAAUCAUUUGAACACUAUGAAUUAAAAAUCAAAAUGUAAAAAACUGAGCUGCAAAUUUAUAAUUCAAUUUGUUCGUUCUAUUAACCACAAAAUUACACAGUAAUUCCAUUAAGGCCCCCACAUGUUGUUUACACAAAAUGUUUACAGAAAUUGUUCAUUUCCUCAUUUGUUCAAAAUGUUUACACAAAAUAUAAAAUUCAAACCAAGUAGGGAACCUUCUAAUUUCCAAGUAACUUUGAGGAGUCUUGAUCCAAAAGAACACAAUUUUUCUAUACCGAGACGACUAGAAGAAGCAAACAAAUUGCCCAUGAUAUCAUCAUCACCAAAACAUGCAUUUAACCUUUCUUCAAUUUAUCACAACUUCAUUUUCCUUCUUCUUCACAACAUUCAACAAUCCAGGAAUUAUUUGUUUUGAUCUAUCACACAUGGGACCAUCAUACCACAAGAAGAAUCCACAACCUCCAUACUUUUGUACCAAAUUUGAACAUAUGUCUACAAAAACACCAAGGAUAAAUUUAAAAAAAUUGAUAAACAAACACAAUAUUACCUUGUAAUUUUGGCAUCCCAAAAACCUUAUACCAGGAUUUAAAUUUGUCCACAAUGUCAUCACACGAGCUUCAUUACCAUAAUAACAAUGGAUUGGAGAUCCAUUAAUCUUCCUAUUGUCAUUUGCCUUCAUAAAUCUUCAGUCUUAAUGGACAAAUCUUCAACUUCAAUGGCCGCUUUAGGGAGCUAUGUGGGAUUUUAGGGCUAGAGAAAUUAUUUGGGGAUUUUGCAAAUUUCCAUACCACGAACAAGGAGGAACAACGAACAAGGAGAAAUUAUGUGGGUUUUUGACAACAACUUCAUGGGAUUGUGAUUUUAGGGCUUCAAAGGGAACGAAGAAUGGGAGAGAAGGGCUUCACCAGGAACAAUAGAGGAAAGGGUUGCAAAUUGAGGUAUUAAAAAU
rnacentral:lncRNA from 1 species